rnacentral:lncRNA from 1 species
AAACAAUGAUCACCAAGUCCCAGAACAGGUUGUGUGAGCCCCUUGAGGCGUUCAUCCAGCUCUGUUUCAGAGAAAUCUCUAUUUCAAUCUAUUCCUAUAUGUUAGUUAUUGAAAAACAAUAGACAAUCACAAAAACAAGUUGACCUAUUUGUGUUCCUUGAGCCCAGUAGUGAAGGGCCCUCGUGACCGGGCCUCAUGCACAACAACUUGUUACAGAAAGAGCCAGGAUCCCAGACUGUGCUGAAGCUUCAUGAGACCUCUCCUCGUCUGUGCACGAAAGAGGAGCCGGACACAGAGUGUCCAGCCGACUCUGGAGCCCAGGCUGUUGCUUCCCGGUCUGGUGGUGAGUCCUCCAUUGUCUGAUGUGGGUAAGUCCAAGACCAAGGAGCCAGCAGAUUCAGAGUCCAGGGAGGGCUGUUCCUGAUUUGCAGAUGGCGCCUUCUCUUUAUGUCUUCACAAGAUUGUGAAGCCUGUAGCUUGGAAGAUACAGGACAUAGGUGAAAGUGUUUGUACCAUUCAUUUAAAGGCAUAAAUGUCCAAUGGGUCAUAAAGGUCAAAGCUAAUAGACAAAAAAAGCUUCCAGCAUGGAUGAUGAGCAAAUUAGAUGCCUCUCUGCUCAGCAUGAGGUUUUUUCAGCUGCAAAAGUAAAAUGAAUCAACCAUGGAAUUACCCCAAUGCACUAAUAGCUACCGCUGUAGUGGUAGAUCGUUAUAUAUCUGGGCAAUUAAAUUUUAAAUGCUAACUGUGAGACCAAGUCAGCAAAUUCUAAUUGAGACACGUUCUACAAAACACCUGACCACUACUCCUGAAACAGUCAAGGUCUUCAGAAAUAAAGAAGGUUUAAAAAAAUUAUUACAGUCAAGAUACACGGCAACUAAAUGUGAUGUGGUAUACCGUAUGGGAUACAGAAACUGAAAAAGGACAUUAGGGCCAUCUUGUGAUACAUGCACUGUCACAGGAAAAGUUUCCAGGAAAAGUCAAGCCAGGGCUUCACAGAAGAUCAAAAGAAAGAGACAAGGAGAAGCUAAGUGUAUUAGUCAGGAUUCUCUAAGGGACAGAACUAAUAGAAUAUAUAUACACACACAAACACACACACACACACAUAUAUAUACAUAUAAAUAAAAGGGAGUUUAUUAAGGAGUAUUAACUCACACAAUCACAAGGUCCCACAACAGGCCGGGCCAUCUGUAAGCUGAGGAACAAGGAAGCCAGUCUGAAUCCCAAAGAUGACAAACUUGGAGUUCAAUGUUCAAGGGCAGGAAGCAUCCAGCACAGGAGAUAGAUGUAGGCUGGGAGGCUAAGCCAGUCAAGACUUUUCACGUUUUUCUGCCUGUUUCAUAUCCUAGCUGCAAUGGCAGCUGAUUAGAUGGUGCCCACCCAGAUUAAGGGUGGGUCUGCCUUUCCCAGCACACUGACUCAAAUGUUUAUCUCCUUUGGCAACACCCUCACAGACACACUCAGGAUUAAUAUUUUGCUUCCUUCCAUCCAAUCAAGUUGACACUCAGUAUUAACCAUCACACUAAGCUUGUUAUUUUAUAGAAAUGCUUGAAAACCAGAGAUAAAUGCAGCUACAAAUGAACGAUGACUCUGCGUUUUCCUUGUAUAUAUAAAGAUCAACAAUAACACUUAGGUCAUGAAACCCACCUACUUUACAGAUCAUUAUGGAAAUAAUACACUGCUUCAGCAAUGGAGAAACAAUCAUCCAUAUUUAUGCAAGAACUAAAUUCAAGUUUGAAAGCUUGCUUUGAGCUUGAAGAUAUAAAACAUGAUUCUGUGACAGUAAACAAUGUAUAACAAAUCUUACAGAAAUUUAUGUGAUUACUAAAAAAAAAUCAAUUCAUCAAUUCAAUAAACUGAGUACCGUAUUACUUUUCUAUUGCUUCUUUACCAAAUAAAUACAAGCUUUGCAGUUUAAAACAACAGAAAUUUAAUUUUUUAUAGUUCUGAGGGUCAGUAACCUAAAACUGAUCUUAUGAAAUAAAGUUAAAUCUUGGGGAUAUGGGUGUGGACAGGGCUGGUUUCUUCUGGGGCUCUGAUGGUAAAAUUUGCUUCCUUGCCUUUUCUCCUUCUAGGGAGCCUGCAUUCCCUGCCUCCUAGUGGCUUCCUCCCAUCACUCGAACCUCUGUUUCCAGCCUCAGGAUUCCUAAUGUGACUCUGACGUUUCAUCUCCUGUUUAUGAGGACGCUUCUGAUUGCUAAGAUACAUACGGUGACACUAUGGAAGUUAACUUGAAGAUUAAAACCCUGAAAAAUAGAAAGAAUCUUCUAUGGUAUAUCACAGAGAUUACAAGGGCCUGAAUUAGAGUGGUGACAUUUUCAUCCCUUGAUAAUGGAUUAAAAACAAUUGAAUGAAGCUUUGGGGUGAACUUACAGGACUUUAUGGCAAACUUCAUAUGGGAGACUUACAUGAAGGGAGGAAGAAAUGCGUAUGUGUACAAAAUCAUGUGGAUAGAUGUGCAUUUGUGGGUAUCUGUGAAUACAAAUACACAAUUUUCAGACAGAAGUAGUAUAAGAAAAGGAAAUCAAACAAAGUCAAACAUUUUAAGUGUAGCUCUUGGUGCACUUUAAAAAAUUAUUAAAUUGAAGCUGUAGUUUAUUCUCAUCAUUGUCAUCCUAUAUUAGUGAUUUUCUUUAGCUUUUGAAAUUAAAUUCAUAAUAUUACAAUUCUGAAUUCCUAUGUAUGUAUAUGUUAAGAAUCCUUUAAUGGGACUGACUUUCAUAUGUGUGUGGCUGCAUUCUGAAAUAGUUGUCUAGUUGAUACAUAAAGCAGUGAGUGCUAUUUGUAAGAUAUAUUUAUAUUUAAAGUCUUCAUACAGUUAUUAACUAGCUCCAAUAUUACUGAAAUGAUUUCUCCAAAUAUCCUAUAUUUAAUUAUCAUGCUGGCAAAUUUAUUAUAACUUUGGUUUGAAAAAAUAUAUUAUGAUACAUAUCCACUGACUAAUGCCACCUAUCUGCUUUCCUGAAUUCAAAGUUUAUGAUUAUUUCCAUAAAUGUAUUUAUCAGUAUAAUCAAAAAUAAAAAUAACAUAAAUAAAAUUUCUGUGAGCUUUACACAUCUAAUGUGCAAUGAUUAUAAAUCUGGUCUUAUACACAUGGUAAAAAACAUUUAAGUCACAAAAGUAUACUUCAGGUUUAAGUAUAAAUCUGAAAUUAAAUUCUCAGAUUUAAGUAUAAUUUUUAAAAGCUUUGGUAAUUGUGUCCCUACUGUUAAAUUUAUUGUAUAGUUUUCACUAUAUCAUCUGACCUUUUAAUGUUUCUAGAAACUUGUGUGAGGUCUCAUACUUCAUGGCUAAUAAAGUAUUUAUUUUUCUAUUCUUGAUCAGUUUUGUUGGAUUUUAUCAAUUUUGUGAAAUCUAACACAUGACUUUCCUAAUUUUUUGUAUUGUUUUUGUGUUUUCUAUUUAAUUUCUUUUUCUCUUAUCCUUACGAUUCUCUUCCUGCUAUGUUUUCCUAGUUUAAUUUGGUGGGUUUUCUUGUUGUUGUUGUUGCUUCUUGGAAUACAAAUAAUAACAGUGCUGUAUGCCUGUAAUCCCAGACAGGAGAGGAUGAAGUGGGAAAAUUGCUUCAGCCUAGGAGUUUGAGAACCACCUAGGUGGCAGAGACAGACCCUGUCCUGAAAAAAAAAAAAAAAAAGGAAAUAGAUAAAAAUAAUAAAAUAAUAAAAAGGACAUUAUUCUUGAGCUUUUUCUCUAAUUAUUUUCCCUGAGAUAACUUGAAAGCUUUAAAAAUACAUCUGAGCAAUGCUUAGUCAAGUUUUACAAGUUUUUAUAUGCUAGACCAUCAUUUUCAUUUAGUUGAAAAUACGUGCUGUAUUUUAAAAUAUUUUGUUUGGAUCCAUUGCUUAUUUAAAAGUCUAGUGCUUAAUUUUUACACAAGUUUGCCUCUUCUAGUUAUUUUUAUUUUUUGUGUGUUCUACUCACUGGUAUUUACAUUAAAUAUUUAAGUUUAGAAUAUGUGUAUGUGUUCUGGAAAAGGUGGUACAUAGUUCCUGUUUUUCCUGUUAUUAAUAUCUUACAUUAGUAUGAUACAUUUGUCAUAAUAUUGAACUAAUGUUGAUGCAUUAUUAAUUUUAUCAUUGAUGGGUUUUUACUAUUACCAUUCUUAAUUGGGGACAGCAGUGUCAGAGGAGUUUGUUUAAGAUUUCAAACAGAGGCAAGAAUUGCUGUGUCUACUGAUCCAAAUGUUAUUACUGGGGUGGGAAACCCUCUCUUGUUAAGCAUGAAUUUUCAAGAUACAACAUUAACAAAAGUCCCUGUUAGAUUCAAAUUUUCUUAUUUUUAAAUUAUCAUCUCUUCUUGUGUCCACAAUCCUCUCCAUGGUGCCAUGUUAUAUUUAAUAGUCAUAUAUCCUUAACUUCCUCUUGGCUAUGACAGUUUCUCAGAUUCCUGUUGUCUCUGAUGACCUUGACGCUUAGUAUUGAUGAGGAAUUUUGUAUAAAGUACCUGAAAUGGAACUGGUCUAAUGUUUAUUUCGUGACUAGACUGAUAAUGUUUUUAGGAAGAAGACCAUAGAAAUAAAGUGCCAUUUUCAUUUCAUCAGGUCAAGAGUACAUCUAUGCUCUUAUCCUGACUUGUCACUGUUGAUGCUAAACUUAAUCACCUGGUUGAGUUAAUAUCUGUCAGGUUUCUCCAGUAUAAAGUUAUUCUAUGUUUUUUCCCUUUUCAUACUUUACUCUUUGGAAGCAAUCAAAUUUUGUAUGUUAAUCAUGUAUCUUACGACCUUGUUACGCACGCUCAUUAAAUCCAAGAGUUUUUGAGAUCUUUUGUUUGUUAAUUAUGUUUUUUGCAUUUGCUGAGAUUUUCUGCCUAGGCAAUCAUGUCACCUGUGAGUAAAGACAAUUUCAUGAUAUCUUUGCCAGUCUUUACAUAUUUAUUUCUUUUCCUCAUCUUACUGCACUAGGUUGGAGUCUUCUCGGUGUAAUAUUGAAUAGGAAUAGCAGGAGAGGCCAUUCUUGCCUUGCUCUAGUUAUAAGGGGAAAAUAUGCAGUUUCCUUCCAUUAACUAUAAUGUCAGCUAUACGUUUUCGGUAUAUGUUCUUUAUAAUAUUGAGGAAUUCCCUUCUAUGUCAUUUGUUGAGAGGUUUUAUCAUGAAUGGCUAUUGAAUACAAAUAAAUCUUUUUCUGUACCAAUUAACACACUCACAUGACUGUUUUUUAGUUUGUUAAUGUGGUCGAUUACAUUAGUUGACUUUUGAAUACCUAAAUGUUUAGCCUUGAAUAUCUGGAGUAAAUCCUAGUAAAUUGUGGUGUGCAAUUAUUUUUAUGCAUUUUAAGAUUUGAUUGCUAAUACAUUUGCUAUGUUUUUUAGAGAUAUUGGUCUGUAAUUUUUAUUUUCUGUAAUGUCUUUAUGUGAUUCUGGAAUUAGGGUGAUUUUGGC